rnacentral:tRNA from 1 species
AGCGGUAGUUUCCUAAUUGGUAAAGGUUGUAGGUUUAACCUACAUUAUAAGGUUCGAGUCCUUCGCCGCUAC